rnacentral:snoRNA from 1 species
UGGGGAUGCACUUGCUCCGCUAAUGGCGGCGCCCAAUUGCUGAGAAUUGUUUCCGUUGGGCGUCCUCGGCAUGCAUCCCAGAUUAAAUACCUUCAGACUGGAACUCUGUGCGGCCGCAUUCCAGCCUGUGCGCUCGCAUCGUUCUUCCAGGCACAUUA